rnacentral:rRNA from 1 species
AUGGGGAGCGGAAGCAAGCUCCGUCUCUGGUGCUCGGCGUUCGCCUGCGCGCUGGCGUUCCUCGGGGCGCACGGGGACGACGACCAUCUCGUCGACAUUACCUACGUCGAGAGCGCCGUGGCCAAGGGAGCAGUAUGUCUGGACGGGAGCCCCCCGGCGUACCAUCUCGACCCGGGCUCCGGCUCCGGGGUGAACAGCUGGUUGGUUCAUUUCGAGGGAGGGGCGUGGUGCAACAAUGCGAUGACCUGCCUGCAACGGUCGCGCACCCCGUUGGGGUCGUCCAAGGAGAUGGCCAAGCGGGUUGCUUUCACCGGGAUCUUGAGCAACGCGUCGGGUUACAACCCAGACUUCUACAACUGGAACAAGGUCAAGGUUCGGUACUGCGACGGCUCGUCUUUCACCGGCGACAAGGAAGAAGUUGAUCCUGUGAGCGCAUAUACUUCAUGUUUGCUGCUACCGGCAUUAGUACCAAGCACAGAGCUACACUACAGAGGUGCGAGGGUGUGGCAAGCAGUUAUAGAAGAUCUGCUCGCGAAAGGAAUGAACAAAGCUGAAAAUGCUCUGAUUUCGGGAUGUUCUGCUGGUGGGCUAACUUCGAUACUGCACUGCGACAGAUUUCAUCAGCUCCUGCCAGUGGAUGCCAAUGUUAAAUGCCUUUCAGAUGCUGGUUUCUUCAUCAACGUGAAGGACAUUACUGGAGCCAACCACGCCGAGGCAUUUUUUAGUGAUGUGGUCACAACACAUGGCUCGGCGAAGAAUUUGCCAUCUUCGUGCACUUCCAAGUUGCCUGCAGGCGUGUGCUUUUUUCCUCAGAACGAGGUGCAGCAGAUCCGGACGCCUCUGUUCAUCCUAAACGCAGCAUACGACUCAUGGCAGGUACGGCACAUUCUGGUGCCGGAGGGCUCCGAUCCUGGAUGGCGAAGCUGCAGGGACGACAUAACCCAGUGCUCCGCGAAGCAGCUCGAGACCCUGCAGGGGUUCAGGGACGAUUUCCUGGAGGCUCUGGGGGGGAGCUCGUCCACCGGAUCCAGAGGGCUGUUCGUCAACUCGUGCUUCGCGCACUGCCAGUCCGAGGUGCAGGACAUCUGGUUCGCGCCCGCUUCCCCGGCGCUCGGAGACAGAAGAAUAGCGGACGCGGUUGGGGACUGGUUCUACGGCCGCAGCGGGUUCCAGAAGACGGACUGCCCCUACCCUUGUGACUCCACCUGCUAUACUAACUGA